rnacentral:lncRNA from 1 species
GCAUUUUUCCACGUUGAACUCACUUGUGUAAGCAAAAUGUACACUUAAUUACCUUUCUUUGCGAACUUAUCCACAUCUACACGUUAAAUUGAAUUAUUCAAAUGAAUGCAAAAAUGCAUCCACCUCUUCAAGUUUACACCAAUAUUCCUUUGUUAAGAAUCUUAUUUCAAUUUUUUUUUAAAUGUUUAUAAACAUUUUUCAAAUAUGUUCAAAAUUACAAUAUGUACACACGUACAUAUAUACAAUAUGUACACAUGUACACAUAUUCAUCAUGUUAUGUCACAUGUACACAUACAAUAUGUACACAUGUACAUGUACACAAUAUGUACACAACUUUUCCCAUCAAAAGUCUUCGUACCGAAAUCUUGAAGAGACUACCAAACCAGGACCCCAUUAACUUCUCCAUCUCAGGCGUGCCAUCAAGUUUGUUCCUCACCCACAACAGAUUGUCAAUGGUCGAGUACAUAUGCACCCUCUCGCAUGGACACCGGUCAGUCGCGAAAAGCUUCUCCGAUAGCGCUGCUUUAACAUCCUCCACCUC